GUAGGUGGCAAGCGUUGUCCGGAAUUAUUGGGGCGUAAAGCGCGCGCAGGCGGUUCUUUAAGUCUGAUGUGAAAGCCCACGGGCUCAACCGUGGAGGGUCAUUGGAAACUGGAGAACUUGAGUACAGAAGAGGAAAGCGGAAUUCCACGUGUAGCGGUGAAAUGCGUAGAGAUGUGGAGGAACACCAGUGGCGAAGGCGGCUUUCUGGUCUGUAACUGACGCUGAGGCGCGAAAGCGUGGGGAGCAAACAGGAUUAGAUACCCUGGUAGUCCACGCCGUAAACGAUGAGUGCUAAGUGUUAGGGGGUUUCCGCCCCUUAGUGCUGCAGCUAACGCAUUAAGCACUCCGCCUGGGGAGUACGGCCGCAAAGGCUGA
rnacentral:rRNA from 1 species